AAACUAAUAAAGAGACUUACUUCUCACAAAAUAAACAAAUUUUUAGAUACAAGUUAAAUUUUUUCUAUCACACAUCCUUGAAAAAAUAAAAAACUUUAUAUUUUAUUCUAUAAUAAUGAAACACUCCCUAAUAACAAAAAAAUAUAAUAUGUAGAUUAUUCUAUUGGAAUAUACUAUUACAUAUACUCUUAUCAUUAUAUUAUAGAUUAAUCUAAUAGAAUAUGACAAUGAGUAGUGCAUUUUUCUAGAAGAUCGGUGACCAUUGCGGAUUGUUCAUGUCUAUCCCAAACGCAUUCAUCCAACCUUCGGGUCAUUGAUCAUCAUGCACUCCAUUCAUUCUAUGAGAACAACUGUCAUGAAAAUGAAUUAUAUAAGAAUAAAACUAUGUGAGAAUGCUUUUAUACGACAAAAAUAAAACAAAUUUUAGUAAUUCUAAGAGAACUCAUACAACAGGAUAAAAUCAAGUAACACAAAUAAUGAACUUAUAAAUUAUUUUUGUGUUAUUCAAGAAUUUGAACAUCAAGUUCUCUUUCAGACAUUUCUACAGACACCUGGUGUGCAAUAUUCUCGUAGAAUUAUUUUUGUGUUCUUUAAGAUUUCUACAAACCCUUUCAAUAUAUCACUACAUAAUCGUAAAUUCUUUAAUAGAAAAAUGAAAACAAAUGUUGUUGAUGAUUUGAUCAUCUACUCAUCACCAAACUACUUUAAGAAACAAACACAAUCAACAGAUAAGGGAAGAGGUCCAAUCUUUAAAUCAUAAUCAUGCAAUAUGUUUGAACUCUAGACAACUAUGUAUGUAUGUAAUUUACUGUUUUUCUCUUAAUUUUUUGAAUUCACUGUCAAAAUCAAAUCUAGGAAAUUUCAUAUCAGAAUCAAUGUCAAACUCUUCCGUUUUAUACAAGGAUUAUGCUGUUUGUUUUGAUCACAUUCAAAGAGAGUACAAGUUAGAAAAAAGAUUAUUUGGUUAAUUGAAAUUGUUUACUGUUUAAUUCUAAAUAUAAUUACCAUUCAAUGAAAUCUCAUUUUUCUUCUACAUAAUUCAAUCAAAUCCUCUUCUUCUUUUCAGGAUUAAUCAUUUUUCUAACAUUAACACCCACAUAAUUAAGAUUCCUAGCUAAUAUUCGUUGUACUGGAAGUGGCUCUAGUUUUAGCUCUUAUAGAAGAGACAUUUAUAAUGAUGAACAAUGAGUUAUUCUUUUAGAAAAAGGUAUUAUAAUAAUCACCUAUUUGUCCUAUCAUAAUCUGUCUAGUUAACUCUAAAGAUGUAUGGUUUAAUUUUAUGUCAAUAUACAUUUUCAGGCUCGCCUUCUUCAUACAACAUGCAUCCUGAAUUUGUAUGUAUGUUACUGGAAAUUAAAUCACAAAUUAACGGGAGGGAUACACAUAAAUGUGAAUGCAAAUCACUAUCCAAUAAAAUGAUGUAAAAUAGCUUUAAAAUUUCGAACACAAUCAGAUGAACAGUAACAAUUGCACAUACAGAAAUAACUAAAAAUCGAUUUAAACUCGAAUCAAUGAGUAAUUUCACGUGAAUAGGAAAAAAACUAACCUUUAUUGUUUCAGGUCUGGGUUUGACGAUACGUUGUUAGUGACAAAGGAACUAAAACCGCAGUAACGAUCGCAAUCCCUAAUAUUCCAUUAACGAUCGACGUAGCCUCGAUCUGUCUCUCUUCCGCUUCGACUCCUUUCUCAGCUGACUCAGUUACUUCCUUCACAAUCUCCAACGCUUCUUCCUCUGCCUUCUUCAGCUUCUUCCCCAAUUCGAAAUAGCCCUGUAUCCUCCACCAUCGAUGGUAUCUCCAUUGCCGUAAUACUUGUAGGUUUUAUAAACUA
rnacentral:lncRNA from 1 species